CUUACACAUGCAGUCGAGGGGCAGCGAGAGGUAGCAAUACUUUGUCGGCGACCGGCGGAAGGGUGCGUAACGCGUGAGCAACAUACCCGUACCUGGCGGAUAAGCGAUGGAAACGUCGUCUAAUACGCCAUAAGAUUGUUUAUGGCAUCAUAGAUAAUUAAAAGAUUUAUUGGGGACGGAUUGGUUCGCGAGACAUUAGCUAGUCGGCGGGGUAACGGCCCACCGAGGCGACGAUGUCUAGGGGUUCUGAGAGGAAGGUCCCCCACACUGGAACUGAGACACGGUCCAGACUCCUACGGGAGGCAGCAGUGAGGAAUAUUGGUCAAUGGGCGGAAGCCUGAACCAGCCAUGCCGCGUGCAGGAUUAAGGUCCUAUGGGUCGUAAACUGCUUUUGUGUGGGAGCAAUAAGGUCUACGCGUAGACUGAUGAGAGUACCAUACGAAUAAGCAUCGGCUAACUCCGUGCCAGCAGCCGCGGUAAUACGGAGGAUGCAAGCGUUAUCCGGAUUUAUUGGGUUUAAAGGGUGCGUAGGCGGCUACGCAAGUCAGUGGUGAAACCCUAGGGCUUAACCCUAGGCCUGCCAUUGAUACUGUAUAGCUUGAGUGCGCUUGCCGCGGGAGGAAUGUGUGGUGUAGCGGUGAAAUGCAUAGAUAUCACACAGAACACCGAUUGCGAAGGCAUCCCGCGAAGGCGCUACUGACGCUGAGGCACGAAAGCGUGGGGAUCAAACAGGAUUAGAUACCCUGGUAGUCCACGCAGUAAACGAUGAUGGCUAACCGCUGGCGUAUAGAUGUCAGUGGCCAAGCGAAAGCGAUAAGCCAUCCACCUGGGGAGUACGACCGCAAGGUUGAAACUCAAAGGAAUUGACGGGGGCCCGCACAAGCGGAGGAACAUGUGGUUUAAUUCGAUGAUACGCAGGAACCUUACCCGGGCUCGAACGGCUAGUGAACAGACUCAGAGAUGAGGAGGUCCUUCGGGACGCUAGUCGAGGUGCUGCAUGGUUGUCGUCAGCUCGUGCCGUGAGGUGUCGGCUCAAGUGCCAUAACGAGCGCAACCCUUGCCGCCAGUUACCAUCAAGUAGAGUUGGGGACUCUGGCGGGACUGCCACCGCAAGGUGAGAGGAGGGGGGGGAUGACGUCAAAUCAGCACGGCCCUUACGUCCGGGGCGACACACGUGUUACAAUGGCGGUCACAGAGGGAAGCUACCCCUGCGAGGGGAUGCAGAUCUCGAAAAGCCGUCUCAGUUCGGAUCGGAGUCUGCAACUCGACUCCGUGAAGCUGGAUUCGCUAGUAAUCGCGCAUCAGCCAUGGCGCGGUGAAUACGUUCCCGGGCCUUGUACACACCGCCCGUCAAGCCAUGAAAGCCGGGGGUGCCUGAAGUUCGUGACC
rnacentral:rRNA from 1 species